rnacentral:rRNA from 1 species
GAUGAACGCUGGCGGCGUGCUUAACACAUGCAAGUCGAACGGUGAAGGCGGAGCUUGCUCUGCUGGAUCAGUGGCGAACGGGUGAGUAACACGUGAGCAAUCUGCCCCUGACUCUGGGAUAAGCGCUGGAAACGGCGUCUAAUACUGGAUACGAGCUGCGAAGGCAUCUUCAGCAGCUGGGAAGAAUUUCGGUCAGGGAUGAGCUCGCGGCCUAUCAGCUUGUUGGUGAGGUAAUGGCUCACCAAGGCGUCGACGGGUAGCCGGCCUGAGAGGGUGACCGGCCACACUGGGACUGAGACACGGCCCAGACUCCUACGGGAGGCAGCAGUGGGGAAUAUUGCACAAUGGGCGAAAGCCUGAUGCAGCAACGCCGCGUGAGGGACGACGGCCUUCGGGUUGUAAACCUCUUUUAGCAGGGAAGAAGCGAAAGUGACGGUACCUGCAGAAAAAGCGCCGGCUAACUACGUG